GUGUGGUAAUCAGCAAUACAAUUUAAAUUGCAUAAAAUCAACAUCCUCAAACAACGCACACGAUUGACUUUAAGUAAGUUAUCAUUUACUUGGCUUAUAUGCCACUAAUUAUUUCUAACGUCUUGUAAAAUCACUUCUACAGCCACUCUGAUAUCUUAAGGAAAUGGGAAAUAUGCAGAACUUGAGGCUUGAAAGUGAAAUAAUAACAUUGAAAAUGUGCAUUGGUUUUGUUGUCAGUUUUGUUGUUCCCUUAAAAAUGGAUUUAAAUCAAAGAAUAAAAAGUCUAUAUCCUGCUUAAGCAUAAGGCUUGGUAUGUUUUUAUUCUGGUAAAAACUAAAUAUUAAAGAAAAAACAUGAUCCAUAGUCCCUUGUCUAAAGAGGGCAUCUUAGAAAGCAAUGCUUUAUGCAACAUGCGAGUACGUGUGUGUGUGUGUGUUGUCAGUUUAUGUGUUUUUCACUUAAAGAGAAUUAUCCCACCACGUGG